GAUGAACGCUGGCGGCGUGCCUAAUACAUGCAAGUCGAGCGAACAGAUAAGGAGCUUGCUCCUUUGACGUUAGCGGCGGACGGGUGAGUAACACGUGGGUAACCUAUCUAUAAGACUGGAAUAACUCCGGGAAACCGGGGCUAAUGCCGGAUAACAUGUUGAACCGCAUGGUUCUACAGUGAAAGGCGGCUUUGCUGUCACUUAUAGAUGGACCCGCGCCGUAUUAGCUAGUUGGUGAGGUAACGGCUCACCAAGGCAACGAUACGUAGCCGACCUGAGAGGGUGAUCGGCCACACUGGAACUGAGACACGGUCCAGACUCCUACGGGAGGCAGCAGUAGGGAAUCUUCCGCAAUGGGCGAAAGCCUGACGGAGCAACGCCGCGUGAGUGAUGAAGGUCUUCGGAUCGUAAAACUCUGUUAUUAGGGAAGAACAAAUGCGUAAGUAACUGUGCGCGUCUUGACGGUACCUAAUCAGAAAGCCACGGCUAACUACGU
rnacentral:rRNA from 1 species